UACGGAGGGUGCGAGCGUUGUCCGGAAUCAUUGGGCGUAAAGGGCGCGUAGGCGGUCUGCUAAGCGUGUGGUGAAAGCUCGGGGCUCAACCCCGAGUCGGCCGUGCGAACUGGUGGACUGGAGCAUGUCAGAGGCAGGCGGAAUUCCGGGUGUAGCGGUGGAAUGCGUAGAGAUCCGGAAGAACACCGGUGGCGAAGGCGGCCUGCUGGGACAUUGCUGACG
rnacentral:rRNA from 1 species